rnacentral:tRNA from 1 species
AGGAAUUUAGGUUAAUAAUUUAAACCUAGGACCUUCAAAGCCCUGAAUAGAAGUGAGAUCCUCCUAAUUCCUG